CAUCGUUGGAGCCUAUUCUUCGGAGAGUUGUUAGUGAAGAAGUGGAGCGUGCUUUGGCAAAAUUGGGCUCUGCCAAACUUAGUGGAAGGUCUUCUCCCAAAUGUAUAGGAGGGCCU